rnacentral:rRNA from 1 species
GACGAACGCUGGCGGUGUGCUUCACACAUGCAAGUCGAACGGAGUAGCAAUACUCAGUGGCGGACGGGUGAGUAACACGUGGGAAUCUACCAUUAGGUGGGGAAUAACAGGCCGAAAGGACUGCUAAUGCCGCAUAUGUAGGCAUCUCGACAGAGAUGUUUAUGAAAGGAGUAAUCCGCCUUUUGAUGAGCCCGCGUCCGAUUAGCUAGUUGGUAGGGUAAAAGCCUACCAAGGCGACGAUCGGUAGGUGGUCUGAGAGGAUGAUCACCCACAAUGGGACUGAGACACGGUCCGGACUCCUACGGGAGGCAGCAGUGGGGAAUAUUGGACAAUGGGCGAAAGCCUGAUCCAGCAAUACCGCGUGUGUGAAGAAGGCCUUCGGGUUGUAAAGCACUCUAAGUUGGGAAGAAAAAGCUUCACCUAAUACGUGAAGCCUUGACGGUACCGACAGAAUAAGCACCGGCUAACUCUGUGCCAGCAGCCGCGGUAAUACAGAGGGUGCUAGCGUUAAUCGGAUUUACUGGGCGUAAAGCGUGCGUAGGUGGUUUGAUAAGUCGAUUGUGAAAGCCCUGGGCUUAACCUGGGAAUUGCGGUCGAUACUGUCAGACUCGAAAACGGUAGAGGGAGGUGGAACUCCAGGU